UUCUUAUUAGAUAAUAAUUAUCGCUGUCAUGUUUUGAUUGAAUGUUAACUUCAUGAAAGAUAAAAUACAUUAUUGUUGUUAUUGACCAAUUAAAACAUGUGACAGUCAUCAUCU
rfam:Glycine soja cultivar W05 scaffold1295_2, whole genome shotgun sequence.